rnacentral:misc_RNA from 1 species
UGUGGGAGCGAGCCUGCUCGCGAUAGCGGAGUGUCAGUCACAUGAUUGUUGGCUGAUAUACCGCCAUCGCGAGCAGGCUCGCUCCCACA